GGGCUGUUAGCUCAGAUGGUAGAGCAGUUGACUCUUAAUCAAUUGGUCAUAGGUUCGACCCCUAUACAGCCCACCA
rnacentral:tRNA from 1 species